AGAAGGAGGUUCUCAGCGAGGUCUGGCUCAAAUGACAUGUGAAGCUGAUUGGCCAAACAGGUAUCACCCCACCAGGAGGGGGCUAUGCUAAUUGCUAGCAUUGAGAGAGCAACCAUUCAGAAAGGGUCAAAAAUCUUAUAUAAGGCAGAGAGCUGACAGGCUUCAGUGUGGGUGUUUAGCAGUUGUAGCAGAUUGGGUGGAGCAGAUCAGAAAGUGGAGCUUGGAGAAGCAGGGAAAAGAAUCGAUCAAAGAGCUGAAAGCAUUUUGACAGAGCAGAAGGACCUAGACAAAUCAGAGAGAUUUGAAGAAGAGUAGGUAGGAAGACUUCUCCUUUGGCUCAAGAGUCAAAAGUACUUAAAAAAAUCCAAAUCAACCCUACCAGAAGAGGGAGUCAGCAUACCAGAGGAGAAACUGAGUCACAGCCACACCUGAUGCCAGAAAGGAGGUGAAGGGGCACUGAAGGAGGAGCCAGAAAACAGAAGAGAAGAAGAGGGCAAAGACAGAUGACCAAGAGGGCAAAGACAGAUGACCAGAUGACAUUGUCAUUAGAACAACGCUUCCUCAGCUCUCGUCCCCUUACGCCCCUACUCCACUUGCACUACACUGAUGACAUCUUCAUCAUCUGGACCCAUGGGAAGGAGGCCCUUGAGGAAUUCCACCAAGAUUUCAACAAU